UACGUAGGGUGCAAGCGUUAAUCGGAAUUACUGGGCGUAAAGCGUGCGCAGGCGGUUUUGUAAGUCUGACGUGAAAUCCCCGGGCUCAACCUGGGAAUUGCGUUGGAGACUGCAAGGCUAGAAUUUGGCAGAGGGGGGUAGAAUUCCACGUGUAGCAGUGAAAUGCGUAGAGAUGUGGAGGAACACCGAUGGCGAAGGCAGCCCCCUGGGUCAAGAUUGACGCUCAUGCACGAAAGCGUGGGGAGCGAACAGG
rnacentral:rRNA from 1 species